GAUUUCAAGAUACAGAAUUACAAUAAAAUCAUUUCGUUUUUGCAAGAAUUCCAUGCAAAUGCAAAAAUGUAAUACAAACUGUAUGUAGUCAAUUUAUUUAAAGUUCUUGAAGUUCUCCCUUGUCUCCUCGCCAAGCCAAUCUAUACCAUCAGCAACUUAAAUAUAUAUAUAUAUAUCCUAAUUAUUGAAUUAAGGUGUUUUCUACAUAACAUCAAGCUCAUAGGCAUACAAUCUCUGUAGACAAACAUUGACUGUAGAAUGGAUAAUACUGCUCACUGCAUCACUCUCUACAGAAUUUUCAUUGACAUGGAUGCAACUAUAUUGUUUGUUUUGAUAUGGUGAUUUGAAAGAAAUUGCAGCACUGAAUAAAAUAAAAAUAAAA